rnacentral:lncRNA from 1 species
GCCUUGGAGGGCGGGACUUCCGGAUUCAGAUGGUUGCUUCUCUGUCGGUCGCGGGCAGAUGGACCUAGUUGUUGGACCGUGGUUGGUGUCCAGGGGGCUCCUCAGGCCCGCGGAAACGGGAGUGGCUGUGCCUCUGCGCCCUGAGGCUGGACAGCCAUGAAGGUCAUGACUGCUGAAGUCACCAGCAACCCAGCUUGGGCAACAGGAGCCUCCCUGGCUUUUGCUGGUGGGGUGACAGCUCUCAGGAAUAUGGCUCAGAAGACUGCAGGAUUCAGGACAACUUCAGCUGCUCAGUGACCUUAUGCGUGGUGUUAAUAGAUAUGAGUUUGGCCCCUGUAGAUCUCACAGCCUGUGCCCUUGCGUACUGGGCUCUGGCGUCCCCUGUUGCCUGUUCCCUGUGCCCCUCCAUUCCCCAUCUACGUAGAGGGGACCUGCCCCUGUCUGCCUGGAGUGGUGAUUACAGGGAUCUGGUUUUUCUGGCCUGGCACAGAAAGAUGGCUCAUCUCCAGCUGGUGGCCACACGAAGCUGCGCUGGUUUGAGGGACCUGCUUCCUUAUUCUCAGACCGCUGUACCCCUCAAGUCCUAUGAUUCCACCUCAGAGUCUGGAGCAGUCGGAAGGGAGUUGCUCCCAGGACGUUCCAGUUGCCCCCAGCAGAGUGAGCCUGUUCAGGAAGGAGGGAAGCUCCCCUGGCACUGCCAGCAGACCCUCCAUGGGGCCCUCGGCCAGAGAGGGUCAGUUCCCAGCCCCUGUGCAGUUAGGGCCUAACAAGUUCUGACUCUGCCACCCCAUGUCCAUGGAAUUUUUCAGGCAGAACACUAGAGUGGGUUGCCAUUUCCUUCUCCAGGGGAUCUUCCUAACCCAGGGAUUGAAACAGUGCCUUCUGUACUGGCAGGCAGAUUCUUUACCACUGAGCCACCUGGGAAGCCCCAUAUCGUUCGUGUUCCAUAGCUAUGCCUUUCUUUUAAAGGUUCUGUCUAAAAGAACCUCUCUGUAUACAAUAUUGUAAAGUUAAAAAUAAAAAAUAUAUAUAUUAAAAAAAAAAAACA